GCCCUUUUAAGUGCAUGAUGCAUCUUUUUCACUCUUUGAAGUAACGCUCUGACGGCCAGGAGCAAAGUAACUGGACUUUAAAAGGUCGAGGGUAACGGCUGAGCAGUGAAGAAAAGCUAGCGGGCAGCGCUGUUGCCAUGGGGGGCAGCUGCUGGCUUUUCUCAGGAGCACAAGUAAUUCAGGGCUGAUAAGAGAUUUAAGGAAGAGUGAGUUUGGAUCAAAAACAGGAGAAAGACUCUGGCACCUCAACCAGACCUUAACGUUCCCAUGUACGUAUUUUUACUUCUCUCGGAUCAAACCCCACAAGGAGCUGGAUGUACGGUUGAGAGGACGUAUCCACAUAUCAAAGAGGUGAGCGGUACCGGGCACGGUGCUCAUCACUUCUCACUGCACCCCCGCCCCCGCCCGUCUCCCCAGCCAACGGACCAUGAAACCAUCCACGGAGGAUGCUUCCUGGGGCUCUGACGGGGGAGCUGCAGAUGGAAGGGCUACAGACUGGAGGCACCAUCGGCAGUGGAAGCGACGGGCACUGAGACAGGGCUGACUUACCAUCAAAUCCUUGGUGGUGCUUUUCCUUUCAUUAGGCCUGUUUGCCAAGGAGCCUUGGAGAAGGAAGUUGCGGUUAAAUGUUUUAAUGGUGGCCACUGAAGACGCCUCAAUGUUUUCGGCUAAAAGGAAACACAUGGAAAUCUAAAUUUCUGGUUUGGCAUCAUCGUAAGCGGCUCCUAAAUCCAGGGAAAGUGUUCAAAAUGCCCAGUGGAUGAGGAUGCCACCCCGGCAUUGCUGGACUCCCUUCUGGGCGGGGCGCUGUGUUAGAUGCCUUCGGUGUCCUGCCCACGUUUCCCUGACAUCACCACACAUUCUGUCAUUCAGCACAUUCCGGAAGCAUGUGACCCCAAGCACCGUCACUCCCUUGGCUCAUGCACGGGGUGGGGCAGAAGUACCAGGGAACUAAUGCCUCCCCACCCCCACCGGAAACUUCAGGGGCUGAGGGCUGACAGCUGAUACCCUCAUCUUCCCGUUCUUUGGGCAGAAAACUCUGAGGUGCGGUCAAUACUGUCUCCCAGGAAGUCCCCAGCAGGAUUCAGCCUCAUGUGCCCAGAGAAGUAAGCUAUGAACUAAAUUGCACUGUACCGGGGUGCCUGGGUGGCUCAGUCUGACUCCCAAUUUCAGCUCUGGUCACGAUCUCGCGGUUCAUGAGUUCGAGCCCUGCAUCGGGCUCUGUGCUGACAGUGCAGAGCCUGCUUGGGGAUUCU